GCUAUUCCUAGCCCAAUCACCCGCCCCACACAACUAAACUUUCUACUAAAAUAAAACAUUUACCAACCUUAGAGUAUAGGAGAUAGAAAUAUGGUUUAGGAGCUAUAGAGACAGUACCGUAAGGGAAAGAUGAAAGAUUGUUUAAUAGCACAAAAAAGCAAAGAUUAACCCUUGUACCUUUUGCAUAAUGAAUUAGCCAGAAACCCCUUGGCAAAAAGAAUUUUAGUCAAAGACCCCGAAACUAGACGAGCUAUCUGCGAGCAGUUUUAUGAACGAACCCGUCUAUGUGGCAAAAUAGUGGGACGACUUACAGAUAGAGGUGAAAAGCCAAACGAGCCUAGUGAUAGCUGGUUGUCCAGAUCAGAAUUUUAGUUCCACUUUAUGUCUACCUACAGAAAAUUAAAUCCAAAUGUAAACAUAAAGUCUAAUCUAAGGGGGGACAGCCCCUUAGAACCAGGAUACAGCCUGAAUUGGAGAGUAAAUAAAAUUAUUACCAUAGUUGGCCUAAAAGCAGCCACCAAUUAAGAAAGCGUUAAAGCUCAACAUCAACCCAAAGCCUAAAUCCCAUACAAACCCCCUCAGCUCCCAACAUGCAACACUGGACCAAUCUAUACAACUAUAGAAGCAAUACUGCUAAUAUGAGUAACAAGAACCCAGUUCUCCUCUGCACAAGCUUAUAUCAGAUCGUAUAUACACUGAUAAUUAACACCCAUACGUAAACACACCACACCCUAGAAUUUACGUAAUUUUUACUGUCGACCCAACACAGGAGUGCACUUAAGGAAAGAUUAAAAGAAGUGGAAGGAACUCGGCAAACCCUAGCCCCGCCUGUUUACCAAAAACAUCACCUCUAGCAUCACAAGUAUUAGAGGCACUGCCUGCCCAGUGACGCAAGUUCAACGGCCGCGGUAUCCUGACCGUGCAAAGGUAGCAUAAUCAUUUGUUCCUUAAUUAGGGACUUGUAUGAAUGGCAACACGAGGGCUCAACUGUCUCCCACCCCUAAUCAGUGAAAUUGACCUCCCCGUGAAGAGGCGGGGAUAGCGCAAUAAGACGAGAAGACCCUAUGGAGCUUUAAUUUACUAACUUACACACAAAAAUUCUUCCUCUACUCGAGCCCAACAAGUAGUGUGCCUAAGCUAGAAAUUUUGGUUGGGGUGACCUCGGAGCACAAAUCAACCUCCGAAUGGAAUUAGCCAUGACCCACCAGUCUAAGCAUCAUAUCCACUAAUUGACCCAAUUAAUUGAUCAAUGGAACAAGUUACCCUAGGGAUAACAGCGCAAUCCUAUUCUAGAGUCCCUAUCGACAAUAGGGUUUACGACCUCGAUGUUGGAUCAGGACAUCCAAAUGGUGCAACCGCUAUUAAUGGUUCGUUUGUUCAACGAUUAAAGUCCUACGUGAUCUGAGUUCAGACCGGAGUAAUCCAGGUCGGUUUCUAUCUAUUCAUUCACUUCUCCCAGUACGAAAGGACAAGAGAAGUAGAGCCCACUGUAUCACCAGCGCUCUAAGUCCAAUAGAUGAAAAAAUCUCAAUCUAAUAAACUAAACACAAAUAACCCUGCCUGAGACCAGGGCUU
rnacentral:rRNA from 1 species